UACGUAGGGUGCGAGCGUUGUCCGGAAUUAUUGGGCGUAAAGGGCUCGUAGGCGGUUUGUUGCGUCGGGAGUGAAAACUCAGGGCUUAACCCUGAGCCUGCUUCCGAUACGGGCAGACUAGAGGUAUGCAGGGGAGAACGGAAUUCCUGGUAGUAGCGGUGAAAUGCGCAGAUAUCAGGAGGAACACCGGUGGCGAAGGCGGUUCUCUGGGCAUUACCUGACGCUGAGGAGCGAAAGUGUGGGGAGCGAACAGG
rnacentral:rRNA from 1 species